CCUACGGGGGGCAGCAGUGGGGAAUAUUGGACAAUGGGGGCAACCCUGAUCCAGCCAUGCCGCGUGUGUGAAGAAGGCCCUCGGGUUGUAAAGCACUUUCAGUGAGGAAGAACGCCUGGUGGUUAAUACCCAUCAGGAAAGACAUCACUCACAGAAGAAGCACCGGCUAACUCCGUGCCAGCAGCCGCGGUAAUACGGAGGGUGCGAGCGUUAAUCGGAAUUACUGGGCGUAAAGCGCGCGUAGGUGGCUUGAUAAGCCGGUUGUGAAAGCCCCGGGCUCAACCUGGGAACGGCAUCCGGAACUGUCAAGCUAGAGUGCAGGAGAGGAAGGUAGAAUUCCCGGUGUAGCGGUGAAAUGCGUAGAGAUCGCGAGGAAUACCAGUGGCGAAGGCGGCCUUCUGGACUGACACUGACACUGAGGUGCGAAAGCGUGGGUAGCAAACAGGAUUAGAUACCCGAGUAGUC
rnacentral:rRNA from 1 species